ensembl:lncRNA
UCACGCUCCUUGGACUUAACCGCAUAUUAUUGUUACAACAUGAAAUCAUUAUUUUCUUUCACUGAACACUGCAGAAAAGGCCCACAACGACAUAGUGUGAAAAACAAUCUACUAAUUCUUCUAACGGAAUUCCAAUUUCAGACCUACAGGUCUGUCAUCAUGGAUAGAGUUAAUCAUUUCUGAGUAUAGUUAUUUUCAUAGAAACCAAGGGCAGGGGUUGAAUACCUUUGAGAGCCACUGUAUGCAAUGUCAACAGUAAAAUAAUGCAUCUUUAGUCUACACUUUCUGCUGUGUUUUGUGCUCUGCCAUGAUGAAUGAUGACGAGCGACAAAACGAAACAAUAUUCUUUGACAGUUCGUCAUGAAUGCUGCUAGCAAAAUACCUGAAAAAGUAUGCUGUGAUGUGAACCUCAUUUUCCAGACCUCCCACGUACACGACCAAACGUCCAGCAACAAUUACACACUUGUCAUUUCGCCUUCUUAGGGUUGGAAUCACUCUUCAGCAAUGACAAGAAGUGUACCUAUUGAUCCGGGCUGUGAUUUGUUGAAUCAAUUAUACUCACGACAAAUACAUUUCAUGAUGUGUAUUACCUCAGAUAAUGUCAUUAGAAUGAUCCAUCUACCACGGGAAUGAUUUAUUGCGUCACAAAUGCUUGCCGUAGAUUUGGUGAUGAGGCAGUUCAAUGAAAGGCAGGCCAUGGAACAGAGAAGAUGAACAACCAGUCCCACAAGUCAUCUUCCUCUUGUGUUUCCAUGACAUUUCCAUUGUUUGGUUGGAGUUCUAUUAACCUCUAUCGUAUCUAUGCCCAAGGUUAGCGGUUCCAAGCCAUUCUGUUCAUUUGUAAUUCUGUCUUGGCCACGUUCCGGCACUGGAAUGUUCAGUGAAUCAUAUUUAUAUUAUAAGCAGUAUGUAAAUGUAUAUAAAUGUGUUUAGUGUAUGCAAGUGGAAGUGUUUUAACAGAUCGGAUGUACAGUAUCUGUAUUGCUACUUAGAUCAGAAUAUGGAUGAGGUCAACAAUGUUUAGGUGUUCUUAGAGAGUAGUAGUGCCCUUGUCGACUGUUUCUGUGUUGAGCGUGAUUCUUCAUUGAGAGUUGUUUCUGUGUUGAGUGUGUUUCUGUGUUGAGAGUUUUUCUGUGUUGAGUGUGUUUCUGUGGGUUUUAAUGUGAUAGGAUGCGUGUGUAUGAAUUGUGAAUCUAAAUAAUUGUGUUUGUGUGUGAUCUGUCAUGGAAGGAUGGGUUAUGAACGCUGAGUCACAUCCAGUCACCGACCAGACAGGAAGUGGUGCUGUGUCUGUGUGUCUGGGAUGAUGAUUCGUCACACUCCAUCACCUUCAGACUCUUUCCUCUCUCUCCUCUAUGCUCUCUCUGUCCCUCUACACAUUCCACCCUAUCACCCUCUUCACAGAACCAGUUUAUAAAAUAACUUGGCUAUUGUAUACCAG